UACGUAGGGGGCGAGCGUUGUCCGGAUUUAUUGGGCGUAAAGAGCGUGUGGGCGGUUCGGUAAGUCUGUCGUGAAAUCCUGAGGCUCAACCUCGGACGUGCGAUGGAUACUGCCGGGCUAGAGGAUGGUAGAGGCGAGUGGAAUUCCCGGUGUAGCGGUGAAAUGCGCAGAUAUCGGGAGGAACACCAGUAGCGAAGGCGGCUCGCUGGGCCAUUCCUGACGCUGAGACGCGAAAGCUAGGGGAGCGAACAGG
rnacentral:rRNA from 1 species